UCCCUGGUGGCUCAGAUGGUAAAGCAUCUGUUUGCAAUGCAGGAGACCCAGGUUGGAUCCCUGGGUUGGGAA
rfam:Ovis aries breed Texel chromosome 10, whole genome shotgun sequence.